rnacentral:rRNA from 1 species
AGAGUUGAUCAUGGCUCAGAUUGAACGCUGGCGGCAGGCCUAAUACAUGCAAGUCGAACGGUAACAUGGAAGUAGCAAUACUUUGAUGACGAGUGGCGGACGGGUGAGUAAUAUUUGGGAAUCUACCUAUCAGAGGGGGAUAGCAACUGGAAACGGUUGAUAAGACCGCGUACGCUCUGAGGAGGAAAGUAAUGGGAUCGAAAGACCAUUAGCUGAUAGAUGAGCCCAAACGGGAUUAGCUAGUAGGCGGGGUAAGGGCCCACCUAGGCGACGAUCUCUAGCUGGUUUUAGCGGAUGAUCAGCCACAUUGGAACUGAGACACGGUCCAAACUCCUACGGGAGGCAGCAGUAGGGAAUAUUGCACAAUGGAGGGAACUCUGAUGCAGCCAUGCCCGCGUGUGUGAAGAAGGCCUUCGGGUUGUAAAGCACUUUAGUUUUCGAGAAAGGGUGCAAUUCGAAUAGGGUUGUAUUCAGAUGUUAGAAAAAGAAUAAGUACCGGCAAACUCCGUGCCAGCCGCCGC